AUGCUCGAAUCGGCGAAUCCCUACUCCUACACUUCGGUUCUUGUGCGCCAUUCGUGCCCAUCUGACGACUGUUCGCCACGGUGGGUUGGUU
rnacentral:sRNA from 1 species